AGCGAACGUUAGCGGCGGGCCUAACACAUGCAAGUCGAACGGGCAGUAGCAAUACUGUUAGUGGCGCACGGGUGAGUAACGCGUAGGUAAUCUACCCUUUGGCGGGGGAUAACGUCCCGAAAGGGACGCUAAUACCGCAUAAGACCACGCCUUCUUCGGGAGGAGUGAGAAAAGGUGGCCUCUUCUUGAAAGCCACCACCGGAGGAUGAGCCUGCGUCCCAUCAGCUAGUUGGUAGGGUAAUGGCCUACCAAGGCGAAGACGGGUAGCUGGUCUGAGAGGAUGAUCAGUCACACUGGCACUGGAACACGGGCCAGACUCCUACGGGAGGCAGCAGUGGGGAAUAUUGGGCAAUGGGCGCAAGCCUGACCCAGCCACGCCGCGUGAGCGAUGAAGCCUCGGUUGUAAGACUCUGUGGGGAGGGGCGG
rnacentral:rRNA from 1 species